CAAGCGCCAUGUCUCUUGUUCUUGAUCAACUAUAGCUCUGGAGUUUUUGUAGAUUUUCAAAUAAAACUCAGAGAUUCCUUGUAUGACUCUCUCUAGUCUCUCUUUUGUGGUAUUUCUGGAUCCUUACCAAGGCAGUAAUGGUGUAUGCCUUCUCUCAAAGUAUGUGGUGUUUUUGGUAUGAGGCAUAGUGACAUUGCCUUCUCUCUCACCCUACUCUAAUAAGGUUUUGAUAUCUUGAGCUCAUAGGUGGGAGACAGCUAAUACAUACUUACAAGACAUUUAUUGCAUAGUCAAACCAUGGAUCCAGAGAAACAAGUCAAUAAGUCAAAUCAAGAUGUGCAUGUGUGGCGAAUGAAUGGUGUAUGGUGAUGAUUGUGAUAAUGGUGAAAACAAUGGUGAAAGUCUAAUUCUACUUUUGCUCUUUUGAGGGGAUACAUACCUUUCUUGCACUUUGAAGCUUUUUGAGGGGGAUGAGAUGCUCUAUAUUUUCUUUUUUUCUCUCAAGUGGGUAUCUUGUACCCCUAAUUCUACUGACGGACACUUGUCCAUUUUUACCUCUCGUCUCACUUUUUUUUUCUUCGAGGUUCCGGGCACUUGCCCCUUUUUAUUUCCUUGUUUUUCACUUCUCUCUUUUUUAGAGCACUCACCCUCCUGGAAUAACGUAGCAAGUGGUAGUAACCAAAAUAUCUCGAGCAUUUAUUUCACAAGGAAUAAUAGGAAGGAUAAUAUUUUUCGGCUAUUCUCUCCUGUAUAGGAGUAGAAUAAUUUUGGGUAAAUCUGGAGAUGGAAAUGAGUGAAUGUAUGUGGAUGCGUACUUCCAGAGUAGAAGCAGCAUGUAUGAAUGAACGUGCAAGUGGAUCUUGAUUUUAACCGCAUGACAAGCUCCUAAGGGUCUACACAUCUUGACCACACUCAAUGCUCAUAAGCAGUAAAAAGUAAAUGUAUGGUUCAUAGUCUAAUAAUCAUGUAUAUAUGGCUGUGGUAGGAUUUUAAACUCUCAUCUUAUAGGAACUCAUCAUGCAAUAUUUUAAAGAUUUUUUUGAGAUAAAAUUCUCCAGAAUUCUAGCAUCUCUAGGAAUAGAUAAACAGCAGCUCAACCUUUCCAUAUCAUAUCCGUUAACGACUUAGACUUU
rnacentral:lncRNA from 1 species